rnacentral:lncRNA from 1 species
AGCUUACAAAAUCCUCUUAAGUUCAGCACUCAAAUGCCAGGCCACAAGGAGGCUUCUUGGACCUAGCUCAGGUAGUGAGGGGCAGGAGGAAGGUAGAGAAAAAGAGGCCUGUGUGGAAAAUACAGAGACUAGGCCCUUGCUCCAGGAUGCCAACCUGUGGUAAAGCCAGAAGGAACAGAGAGGAAGCUUAGCCUGAUCUUGUAAGGGAGACCCUGAGAGAAGUUCCA